UUGCACUGUUCAUAACCUAUUGACAGUAUCUUUCUGCUAAUGGGUUCCAUUCCAGUGCCACAUAAAUCACCAAAGUAAUAGAAGGCUGGCUGACUGACUGGCUGGCUGUUCUUUAUUUUGGGGGACAUAA
ensembl:snoRNA